GAGAGGGAAUUGGCAGGUUCAGCGGGAGGCUACUCCCCCACCUGUCUCCAGGCACUGCAGACACAGCUGCUGCGGAAGGAGACAGUCAAAGCUUCCAAGGAAAGAAAUGGCCAAGAUUUGAGAGAAACCUGGCAGCGUCCCCAAGCCUGGCACGGGAUCGCCUCAGACGCACUCGGCUGCUCCGGAGGCGGAGCGCGAAGCAUCGGACCCGGCGGGCGGAGCCAAGCCAGCGGGGCGCAGCGCAACGCCUUCCGCCAGGGCGUCUGCCGCCACCUACCGGCGACCAGGCAAGCGUCAGUGCGACCCCAAAGCAAGCUGCUGUGAGCUGGCUGGACCUGGUCCCAGCCACUAGCAACAGCAUUUCCAACAAAGGCCACCCGUCUUAGCCUACCCAGCUCAGAAACUCCUGUCUAAGUGCUCUGCCCUAGGAGUUGAUCUAACUGCUUUAUGUAAACCCAACCUGAGGACGAAGGCAGUCUGUGAUCCCAGUAUACGCUCAGCGAAGAGUGUGUGCUCCCACAACAGUAGCGUGAAUGAACAUAUGAAUGAAUGAACCAACCUAUUUAAAAAAAACAACAACAACAACAACUUUCAGAUAUAUUUAUGUUUGUCAGACAUUUUGUUGGUGGCUAGUAAAGUCUACAAUAACUGUUCUUUUUCAUAAGCAUAUUCCUAGAUCCAGCCAUGGUCACACCUCCACUGUUUCACGGAGGGACUCAGUGGGACUGGUUCUCAACUGGAGGAAACUUUCCGCCGAGCGGCAGUUGCUGUGACCGCCUGGGCAUCAAAUGGCAAUUAAUUGGAACAGACUUGAUAAAUGAACUGUGGAAGGGAGCGCUGUGUUCAUGACUAGGUGCCUCCAUGGUCAUGCAUAGCAGACCAGGCGCUUUCCCACCCACCUGCUUAUGCUGCCACAGUGAACACAAAUUUACAUACCUGGAAGAAACAAGACUUUCUGAAGCAUUUGCAAAAAAUGCAGGAAAUCUGUCUGUCGUGGCUAAAACACCCCCACUGCUCCGUUUGGCAUCGUUCUCGUUCAUAUUCGAAGCAUUGACAGUGUUUCCCCUGACUAGCUGUAGCAAUUAUCACACUGGUGGCAACUGAAAUGGCUUUUCUAAUUCUAGAACCCGGGUUCCAUGAAAUAGCAAAGAAGAACCCCCCUUAAGGUAUAGGAAUGUUUAGCGUUUUUAGAAUAAAACAAAACGGAAACUA
rnacentral:lncRNA from 1 species